rnacentral:rRNA from 1 species
UACGGGGGGGGCAAGCGUUGUUCGGAAUUACUGGGCGUAAAGGGCUCGUAGGCGGCCAACUAAGUCAGACGUGAAAUCCCUCGGCUUAACCGGGGAACUGCGUCUGAUACUGGAUGGCUUGAAUCCGGGAGAGGGAUGCGGAAUUCCAGGUGUAGCGGUGAAAUGCGUAGAUAUCUGGAGGAACACCGGUGGCGAAGGCGGGUCUCUGGACAGUUCCUGACACUGAGACACGAAGGCCAGGGGAGCAAACGGG